AUGUUGGGGUUCUAUCUGCUAUUGAGGCUAUACAUCUCUGCGGAGAUGUUGAACCGUGAAGUUACUUUGCUGGUUUUCCUAUAUUGUGGUGAAUUUGGCUCUGAAUCGAGCACCUUGACUAGUUAGCCACAGACUUCCAUAUAGGUGGGUAUUUUGCCUUAAGGCUUCAAGACAAGGAGUGCACCCUUUGGCUCUUGUCUUUUGGAGUUCUUGAUGAUGCUGAAUGAGAAAACACAGAUUUCCAACAUGAAAAUUCUGGACCAUACAGAUAAAGCACGAGACACUUGCAUCGCAAUCCACACUGCACUGAUGCAAAAGGCAGCUGCUCUGAAGAUAACUGGCUGGUUUGGUUAAGGUGGAGAAAAAUGCAUCAAAAAUGUAAGAAUUCUCAGGAAUCCCACGUGAAGAUGAAAUGAUGGAUUUAGUUUCUCUUAUAAAAUAGCGUUGUGCCAUCACUAUUAUAUCUUAAUGCUAACAGGACUUUUCAUCCAUAGUAUGCAAGAGAGACCAAAUUCUUAGGAGGAAAUUGAACUUGAAUGCCAAGUUGUGGAAAUAGUAUUUUCAUAACUCGUUCUGACAAAACAGAGUGGAAAUGAAGGCUAUUCAUAUCUUAAGCCUUUAAAAACAUUGAACGGGUUUCUCACAAAACCUGUGAAAAUUUCACCAUUAAUGACAAGAGACCUAGGAUUUUUAGCCAUGAAAAAACAAAACAAAACAUCCUUUGCAGCAGAAUAUCAUUUAUUGAAAGUGAAUUCCUGUCUGCCCUUCUCUCUAAUAGAUUGGUUUUGCAGCAGUGUACGUUUAUUUGGAGGAAUUUACCUGAAGCUGAACUUAAGCUGUAAUAGCCUGUCUCACAAUAUUCAGAUAGGGCACAUCCAUGGGAAACACUGGAAUAUUGCAAUAAGGGCAAUUAAUCAUAUUCGUCAGACAGAGGGAUUUAAGGUAACAUAAGCAGCAUCAACUGAUGAUAAUUCUCUGGAUGCUUGAAUAAUUAUUUUUCCAAAUU